rnacentral:rRNA from 1 species
CCUACGGGAGGCAGCAGUGGGGAAUAUUGCACAAUGGGCGCAAGCCUGAUGCAGCCAUGCCGCGUGUAUGAAGAAGGCCUUCGGGUUGUAAAGUACUUUCAGCGGGGAGGAAGGGAGUAAAGUUAAUACCUUUGCUCAUUGACGUUACCCGCAGAAGAAGCACCGGCUAACUCCGUGCCAGCAGCCGCGGUAAUACGGAGGGUGCAAGCGUUAAUCGGAAUUACUGGGCGUAAAGCGCACGCAGGCGGUUUGUUAAGUCAGAUGUGAAAUCCCCGGGCUCAACCUGGGAACUGCAUCUGAUACUGGCAAGCUUGAGUCUCGUAGAGGGGGGUAGAAUUCCAGGUGUAGCGGUGAAAUGCGUAGAGAUCUGGAGGAAUACCGGUGGCGAUGGCGGCCCCCUGGACGAAGACUGACGCUCAGGUGCGAAAGCGUGGGGAGCAAACAGGAUUAGGUACCCUGGUAGUCCACGCCGUAAACGAUGUCGACUUGGAGGUUGUGCCCUUGAGGCGUGGCUUCCGGAGCUAACGCGUUAAGUCGACCGCCUGGGGAGUACGGCCGCAAGGUUAAAACUCAAAUGAAUUGACGG